rnacentral:rRNA from 1 species
GCUAAAGAUUCAUCGCUGAUAGAUAGGCAUGCGUUCCAUUAGGCAGUUGGCGGGGUAACGGCCCACCAAACCGACGAUGGAUAGGGGUUCUGAGAGGAAGGUCCCCCACAUUGGUACUGAGACACGGACCAAACUCCUACGGGAGGCAGCAGUGAGGAAUAUUGGUCAAUGGCCGAGAGGCUGAACCAGCCAAGUCGCGUGAGGGAUGAAGGUUCUAUGGAUCGUAAACCUCUUUUAUAAGGGAAUAAAGUGCGGGACGUGUCCCGUUUUGUAUGUACCUUAUGAAUAAGGAUCGGCUAACUCCGUGCCAGCAGCCGCGGUAAUACGGAGGAUCCGAGCGUUAUCCGGAUUUAUUGGGUUUAAAGGGUGCGUAGGCGGCCUUUUAAGUCAGCGGUGAAAGUCUGUGGCUCAACCAUAGAAUUGCCGUUGAAACUGGGGGGCUUGAGUAUGUUUGAGGCAGGCGGAAUGCGUGGUGUAGCGGUGAAAUGCAUAGAUAUCACGCAGAACCCCGAUUGCGAAGGCAGCCUGCCAAGCCAUUACUGACGCUGAUGCACGAAAGCGUGGGGAUCAAACAGGAUUAGAUACCCUGGUAGUCCACGCAGUAAACGAUGAUCACUAGCUGUUUGCGAUACACUGUAAGCGGCACAGCGAAAGCGUUAAGUGAUCCACCUGGGGAGUACGCCGGCAACGGUGAAACUCAAAGGAAUUGACGGGGGCCCGCACAAGCGGAGGAACAUGUGGUUUAAUUCGAUGAUACGCGAGGAACCUUACCCGGGUUUGAACGCAUUCGGACCGAGGUGGAAACACCUUUUCUAGCAAUAGCCGUUUGCGAGGUGCUGCAUGGUUGUCGUCAGCUCGUGCCGUGAGGUGUCGGCUUAAGUGCCAUAACGAGCGCAACCCUUGCCACUAGUUACUAACAGGUAAAGCUGAGGACUCUGGUGGGACUGCCAGCGUAAGCUGCGAGGAAGGCGGGGAUGACGUCAAAUCAGCACGGCCCUUACAUCCGGGGCGACACACGUGUUACAAUGGCGUGGACAAAGGGAA